rnacentral:rRNA from 1 species
UACAAAGGGGGCUAGCGUUGCUCGGAAUCACUGGGCGUAAAGCGCACGUAGGCGGCUUUUUAAGUCAGGGGUGAAAUCCUGGAGCUCAACUCCAGAACUGCCUUUGAUACUGAGAAGCUUGAGUCCGGGAGAGGUGAGUGGAACUGCGAGUGUAGAGGUGAAAUUCGUAGAUAUUGGGAAGAACACCGGUGGCGAAGGCGGCUCACUGGCUCAUUACUGACGCUCAGGCGCGACAGCGUGGGGAUCAAACAGG